AAACAAGUGAUUUAUACCUCCGA
rnacentral:siRNA from 1 species